rnacentral:rRNA from 1 species
AUUGAACGCUGGCGGCAGGCCUAACACAUGCAAGUCGAACGAGUGGCGGACGGGUGAGUAAUGUCUGGGAAACUGCCUGAUGGAGGGGGAUAACUACUGGAAACGGUAGCUAAUACCGCAUACCAUCAGAUGUGCCCAGAUGGGAUUAGCUAGUUGGCGGGGUACCGGCUCACCAAGGCGACGAUCCCUAGCUGGUCUGAGAGGAUGACCAGCCACACUGGAAUGUAGACACAGUCCAGACUCCUACGGAAGGCAGCAGUGGGAAAUAUUGCACAAUGGGCGAAGGCCUGAUGCAGCCAUGCCGCGUGUAUGAAGAAGGCCUUCGGGUUGUAAGGUACUUUCAGCGGGGAGGCGUUACCCGCAGAAGAAGCACCGGCGAACUCCGUGCCAGCAGCCGCGGUAAUUC